GGGGAGAGGCUGGAUCGUGGGCUGUGUCCCGGCACCCUGUGCUCCCGGGGCCUGCGCUGUUGGAUUUGCGCUCCGACCCGCAGCCCCCU
rnacentral:pre_miRNA from 1 species